rnacentral:rRNA from 1 species
GACGAACGCUGGCGGCGUGCUAAACACAUGCAAGUCGAACGGAAAGGCCCUGCUUGCAGGGUACUCGAGUGGCGAACGGGUGAGUAACACGUGGGUGAUCUGCCCUGCACUUCGGGAUAAGCCUGGGAAACUGGGUCUAAUACCGGAUAGGAGCCAUUUUUAGUGUGAUGGUUGGAAAGUUUUUUCGGUGUAGGAUGAGCUCGCGGCCUAUCAGCUUGUUGGUGGGGUAAUGGCCUACCAAGGCGGCGACGGGUAGCCGGCCUGAGAGGGUGGACGGCCACAUUGGGACUGAGAUACGGCCCAGACUCCUACGGGAGGCAGCAGUGGGGAAGAUUGCACAAUGGGCGCAAGCCUGAUGCAGCGACGCCGCGUGGGGGAUGACGGCCUUCGGGUUGUAAACUCCGUUCGCUAGGGACGAAGCUUUUUGUGACGGUACCUAGAUAAGAAGCACCGGCUAACUACGUG